GGAGGGAUCGCAUAGUGGUCUAGUGCGGCCGCCUGCUAAGCGGUUUCCUGGGGAAACUCGGGACAUGGGUUCGAAUCCCAUUCCCUCCGCCA
rnacentral:tRNA from 1 species